GCCCCACGCUCUUCCUCCUUGUGCAGCUUCCCUUUCGCCUUCUGCCAUGAUUGGAAGCCUCCUGAGGCCUGUGCAGCCACAGUUCCUGGUAAUGGGAAAGAACUUGACAAUUAUGGUCGUUCACUUGUGUCUCAGUUGCAUAUUUUGCCCGACUACAAGGAAGAAGCGUGAAAAUGCCCAUGUUUUCUUUUGACAGAUGAACUUUACCAUUUCAAGUGAAAGGAACAUAAACUCAAGGUAAGUUAAUGUUUUAUGUUGAUGUUACAGUUUCAUUAACUUUUAGAUUGUAGGAUAUUAAAAUCCAUAUUUAUUUUUGAACUGAGGCAAGUCUCCUUCCUGAUGUUACGGAUCAGCUAAUUAUGUUCAUUUAUUCAGUCCUAUUAUGUACUUACUACAUUUAGACCUAACUGACAGAUCUUAUUAAGAAAUACGUUUCUGACACUUUUUGCUUUUUGUUACCCAUUAUUUAUCAAUAUCUGAAAUAUUUAGGUUGUUUUGAUGAAUUGUGUCCUAGCUAUUACAAUUACUCAGUUACUUAAUAUUUGGAGUCUUAAGGUCAUGGGAGAAAAUAGUUCCUUUCUUUUUUGGUUUUUG
rnacentral:lncRNA from 10 species